CUUGUCCCUUUUGUAUUAGAUAUGCGUUAAAAACAAAAGGGGGAAAAAUCCCAUCUAUUUUUCGUAGGUUUCUUUCAUCUUCUUCCUUCUUCUCUUUGCAUGUUACGAAAUCGAUCGAUCACUCCAGCAUCUCCUCCAAAUCCGUCAAUGAAAUCACCAUGGAGAUUUGGUGCCAUCAAGACUUUGUGCCAUCAACUUGGUUCCAUCGAUUUGGAUCCAAAACUCGUUGUAUUCGAAAGACCCGGGAGAGAGGAAGAACAUGGAACCAAAUCAAUGUAAUAAGAGAUAAAGCUAUGGUGGGUUUGAGGUUAGUAUUUUUUUUCCCGUUCGGGGUGUAGCAGUCCCUGGGGUUGAGGGGGAACCUGUAAGCCUUCCUGAACCAGUGACUGAAGCCAUAGCUGCUGCGUUUGGGCAAUGGUUGUUACACAAGAAGAAUGUUGGAUCCCGGAAGUUGAGAGUAUCCGUUGGCCAUGACUCUCGCAUCUCUGCACCAACCUUGCUGGAAGCGGUUUCUCGAGGUCUUGGCCUUUCUGGAUUAGACGUUGUUCAGUUCGGAUUAGCAUCAACACCAGCAAUGUUUAAUAGUACAUUGACUGAAGAUGAAUCAUUCUUGUGCCCUGCUGAUGGGGCUAUCAUGAUAACAGGUAUUCUUAUUGAUCUCGGUUUCUAUAAUAAGUAGUUAUUUUUCUUAGUAGUUGUCAUCACUUAGUGAUAUUUGCUACCACGCUUUUAUUUUGAGCAGCAAGCCAUCUUCCUUACAACAGGAACGGUUUCAAGUUCUUCCUUAUAUUUAAACUUUUUUUUUCUGAAAGGUCCGCUGCUGUGGAUUCAUCUGGCCGUGAGUUCAACCGUAAUCGUCUUAUUGCGUUGCUUUCAGCUAUUGUUCUAGAGCAAAUCCGUGUUUCGGGCUUUGGUGGAUGGUUUCUUCUCAGACUUUCUCUCCACGACCCUUUUCUUCCUCUUAACAUUGAGGCGCAGAGUGAGAAUGAUGCUGUGAAGUUAGGCCUUGUGGUUGCUAAUGCAGUGAAGGAGUUCAAUGCUUUGGACACCUCUGCUUUGUCCAGUCUCACUCGCUCUUAAAUUGGUUUUAGGUGGAUCUGUGAUCCUAAAUUAAUGUUCUAAAAUUGCUUUGGACACAUUUUUUUGUGUGGAAAUCAAUGUUCUAAAAUUAGUAUAGACAACAUCUAAGAAGUAAAUUAAUCACAAUACAAUAUGAUUAAAUAUAAUUAGUCUAAGUUGAUUUAAAUA